rnacentral:rRNA from 1 species
ACAGGAUUAGAUACCCUGGUAGUCCACGCCGUAAACGAUGUCGACUUGGAGGCUGUUCCCCUGAGGAGUGGCUUCCGGAGCUAACGCGUUAAGUCGACCGCCUGGGGAGCACGGCCGCAAGGUUAAAACUCAAAUGAAUUGACGGGGGCCCGCACAAGCGGUGGAGCAUGUGGUUUAAUUCGAUGCAACGCGAAGAACCUUACCUACUCUUGACAUCCAGAGAACUUUCCAGAGAUGGAUUGGUGCCUUCGGGAACUCUGAGACAGGUGCUGCAUGGCUGUCGUCAGCUCGUGUUGUGAAAUGUUGGGUUAAGUCCCGCAACGAGCGCAACCCUUAUCCUUUGUUGCCAGCGAUUCGGUCGGGAACUCAAAGGAGAUUGCCGGUGAUAAACCGGAGGAAGGUGGGGAUGACGUCAAGUCAUCAUGGCCCUUACGAGUAGGGCUACACACGUGCUACAAUGGCGCAUACAAAGAGCAGCGACCUCGCGAGAGCAAGCGGACCUCAUAAAGUGCGUCGUAGUCCGGAUCGGAGUCUGCAACUCGACUCCGUGAAGUCGGAAUCGCUAGUAAUCGUGGAUCAGAAUGCCACGGUGAAUACGUUCCCGGGCCUUGUACACACCGCCCGUCACACCAUGGGAGUGGGUUGCAAAAGAAGUAGGUAGCUUAACCUUCGGGAGGGCGCUUACCACUUUGUGAUUCAUGACUGGGGUGAAGUCGUAACAAGGUAA